AAUAUUUAUGUCCGGACAGUUUUGGUCAUGAUCAGUUUAUUUUUGAAAUCUGAAGAACUUUCUGAGCAGUCCCUGAAGGCAGCAGCAUUCAGUAGCAACGGUUUCUCUUGUUUCUUUUCCAGGGAUUAGUAGAAGAUUAAGAUUUAAGCGGAGAUAAACAACCCGCAGUCAGAAAAAUAUACAGGAAAAAGACAAACACAUAAGUAUGGCGGAUAUAAUCGGUUCUUGGGAGGAGAAGUCUUUAUAUUUGACUCAAAUUCAAUAUCUGGAGGAGCAGUUGGAGAGAUGUCAACUUAAAUAUGACGAGCUGGAGAAACAGAAUAAGGACCUGGCCCCUAAUUACAGCGCGCUGGAGAAGGACAAGAAAGACACCACUGAGUCCCUGAAACGCUCCGCGGCUGUAAAACAGAAGAGGAUUGAAGAGCUGGCUGAGCAGCUGAAGACUCAGCAGCAGACAGACCAACAGGACAGAGAGGAACUGCAGCUGCAGCACAGCCAGCAGAAGAAGGAGUUGCAGGACCGGAUCAACGGACUUCACUCAGUAAGCAGGACGAUGGUGAAAAAGUUUGAGGAGCAGCAGGAGCUGGAGGAGCAGCUGAAGCAGCUGAUGCAGGAACAGUCCAACAUAGAGUCUAUGAAGAAGCAGCUGUUGGAUCAGAGAGAAGAGCACACAGCUGCCAUCGACAGCCUGAUGAAUGAACUAGAGUUGGAGAGGGAAAAGGUGAUCGUGGAGGGGCAGCAGGCUGUGGAUCGAUGCGUUGAGAAGAAGGCCUCAAAGAUUCUCCGCAAUGAGAGAGCUCUUCACAGCGAGCGGCUGCAGCAGCUCCAGGUCCUGCUAAACGAAAACGUGGUCCUCCCAAAGGAGAAAGAGGUCUUGCAAGACAAAGAGAGGGUUCUUUGCUUUGAGAAAGAGCAAAUGAAGAAAGCGCUCACAAAAAUUACCCAGGAGAGUAUCACCUACAAAGAUGAGAUAAAGCAGCUGAAGGAGAAGUGCCAGAAGCUGAGGGUGGACCUAAAGGACCGUGAUGCCGCCUGCAAGAGCAUGCUGACCAAGAAAGAGGAUCUCUGUAAGCGCCUGGACUCAGUGGACAAGGACAGACGACAAAAAACGGCCGAGGCAGAUCAGCUGAAGGUGGAGCUCCAGAGGGAGAAGAGCAGGAGGAGGCAGAUAAAGAACGUCAUUCAGGAAGCAGGCAUCACUCUCAGCCACAUCUUGACGGAGUUAGACAAGCCGUCCGAGACUGAGUGGAAGAUCCUGAGGCUGCUGGAGAUCCUGGAGAGCACCGCCCCCCCCAGUGACCAGGCUCCGCCCUCGACAACUCACCUGAGAAGAGCAGUUGAGAACCGAAAACGCAGAUCACUGACCCCAAACCAGCCAGGAAACUCUGCAGUCAGAAGACCCCCAGCUCUGUCGUGUGCUCCUCAGCAGGCUGAUCCAGAAGCCGGAGCCUCUGCAGAUUGCUGAACUGAAUCCAGCCCACAGUAGGGAAGAUCAAUGUUGUUCAUCCCACCGCCCCAUUUCAGAAUAAAGUGAGCCUCACAGCGAGGAGAGGCGGAGUUCUGGGCAGACAGAGGAUAACAGGCGCUGCAGGAGAGGACUGAAAACACAGAAGGA